rnacentral:rRNA from 1 species
UACGGAAGGCAGCAGGGGGAAUAUUGCACAAUGGGCGCAAGCCUGAUGCAGCCAUGCCGCGUGUAUGAAAAGGCCUUCGGGUUGUAAAGUACUUUCAGUCGUGAGGAAGGUGUUAAGGUUAAUAACCUUAGCAAUUGACGUUAGCGACAGAAGAAGCACCGGCUAACUCCGUGCCAGCAGCCGCGGUAAUACGGAGGGUGCGAGCGUUAAUCGGAAUUACUGGGCGUAAAGGGCACGCAGGCGGUUAAUUAAGUUGGAUGUGAAAUCCCCGGGCUUAACCUGGGAAUGGCAUUCAAGACUGGUUAGCUAGAGUCUUGUAGAGGGGGUAGAAUUCCAUGUGUAGCGGUGAAAUGCGUAGAGAUGUGGAGGAAUACCGGUGGCGAAGGCGGCCCCUGGACAAAGACUGACGCUCAUGUGCGAAAGCGUGGGGAGCAAAACAGGGAUUAGAUACC